rnacentral:lncRNA from 1 species
UACCGCGAACUUGGUGACCGAGUUCACAGAAACUGGCAGGACGAAUGUCUCGUCGAACAGAUCGACACACUUGUAGGUCUCCUUGCCGCAAGGAGAUCGUCACCAGCAAGGACUCAAUCUCGUGAAAUUUUCUCGCGCAAAUUUGCGCGUGUGUGUAUAAUCAGGGACUUAAUAUAGUCUUCUAUUGUACUUAAAAAUGUUUAACUGUUGGUGAUACAGACAUAUGGCACAAAUCAUUCGUGUGUUACACUAUGAUUGAGACUAAUUCGGGAACCACUGCUUUCAUGAAGCCGCAUAGCUGCUUAAAAAUGUUUUUGGUUACUUUUAUUUUUUUUACAGUCCAGUCGUUGCCAGAUUCCCGGUCCGCCCCUCCCACAGUUCCUCAUCCCAUUCCUCCUACCCCUUCUCUAAGAGGAUGCCCCCGCCAGGCCUCAGUACUCCCUGGGGCCUCGUUUCUCAAGUUAGGUGCCUCUUCUCCCACUGAGGCCAGACCAGGUAGUCCUCUGCUGUAUAUAUGUUGGGACCUCGGACUAGCUCAUGUAUGCUGCCUGGUUGGUGGCUCUGUGUCUGAGAGAACUCAGGGGUUCAGGUUAAUUGAGACUGUUGUUGGUCUUGCUAUGGGGUUGCCCUCCUCCUCCUCAGCUUCUUCCAGUCUUUCCCCUAAUUCAACCGCAGGGGUCUCCGACUUCAGUCUAAUGGUUGGGUGUAACUAUCUGCUUCUGUCUCAGUCAGCUGCUUGUUGGGCCUCUCUGAGGGUAGUGUCAGUCCUUGGAGCCUCCCCUUGAGCUGGAUCCAAAUUUGGGCCUGCCACUGAACCUCUUUUCCUUCAGUCUGUUCUCCAUUUUUGUCCCUGCAGUUCUUUUAGACAGGGACGAUCUGGGUCAGAGUUUUUGAUUGUGGGAUGGCAACCCCAUCCCUCCACUUGAUGUCCUGCUUUUCUACUGGAGGUGGACUCUAUAAGUUCCCUUUCCCCACUGUUGGGCAUUUCAUUUAAGGUCCCUCCCUUUGAGUUCUGAGAGUCUUUCACUUCCCAGGUCUCUGAGGGUCCCCCCAUCUGAGGGGGGUGGUUUCUAUUCUUUUCUGCUGGCUCUCAGAGCUUCACUCCUGAUUCUCCCUUACCCCAAUACCUGAUCAUGUUCCCCUUUUCCUCUCCCUGUCCCCUCUCCCACCCAGGUCCCUCCUUCUGCCCACCCCCUCCUAAUGCUUUCUACCCCUCCCCCCCAAGUGGGAUUGAGGACUUGGGUCUUUGGCUUGUUAACCUUCUUGAGUUCUGUAUUCUGGGUAUUUUGUACUUUUUUGGCUAAUAUCCACUUAUUAGAGAAUACAUACCAUGCAUGUCCUUUUGGGUCUCAGUUACCUCACUCAGGAUCAUACUUUCUAGUUUCAUCCAUUAGCCUGCAAAACUCAGGAUUGUCCUCAUUCUUAAUAUCCGAGUAGUAUUCCAUUGUGUAAAUGAACCACAUUUCCUGUAUCCAUUCUGUCAUGGGACAUCUCAGUUGUUUCCAGCUUCUGGCUAUCACAAAUACGGAUGCUAUGAACAUAGUGGAACAAGUGCCCCUGUGGCAUGGCAGGGAAUCUUUUGGAUAUAUGCCCAAGAGUGGUAUAGCUGGGUCUUUAGGUAAAUCUGUUUCCAGUUUUCUGAGGAACCUUCAGAUUGAUUUCUGAGUCGUUGUACCAGUCUACAAUCCCACCAGCAAUGGUGGAGUGUUUCUCUCUCUCCACAUCCUCACCAACAUUCACCUGAAAUUUUGAUCUUAGCCAUUAGGAUUGGUGUAAGGUGGGAUCUCAUGGUCAUUUUGAUUUGCAUUUCCCCGAUGACUGAGGACUUAGAACAGUUCUUUAAGUGCUUCUUGGCAGCUUAAAAAUGUUAAAUGAAUGCAAUCACUGCCCCGAAAUUCGUUGUACCCUGAGGAUUCUCUCUAGUCAUUGGAACCUCAACAUGCCACAGUUCAGGCCAGCACAUACCUUUAUACCUGUUUAUUAAGGCCCCUUUAUUCUUAGCUUAUAACAUCAUCUGUACAGGAAACUGACCCAUAUAGCCUAAUUGGGAAAUUGUCUGUUCAAAUGUGGCAGACUUCAUGAUAUCUGCUACAAGAAUAAAAAUUUCAUCAUGUUUUAGAACAUUGCAGAUUUGCCUGUUUGGUUUUAAAUCCAAGGCAUGAGCACCAUCUUCUGGCCAGAUAGACCACUUGCCAUGUGUCAGGCCUACACAACACUAACUGCUGCUUAUAUGGAGGUCUCUGCCGUAAAACUCAACACUAUUGCAGAUGAAUAUGGAGUCCUUGAAAUUGUUUCAAGAUAGAAUUUGAAGACCCUGACCUUUAUGGUUGAGUUCUCUUGAGACCUUUGUCUUUUAUUCUGGUAGAUUUUCACUGGAAUCAUUCUAAACUAUCAGACAAGUUCAAUUCAUAUUGCAAGGAGAGAUCGGUUUUCUUUUUUGCUGACAGAUCUAUAGACAAAGCACCUUUCAUUAAUUCUUUGAUUUUUUUCUAUUUUAUGGAUUUCAGUCCUGAUUUGAUUAUUUCAUCCCAUCUACUCAUUCUGGGUGUUAUUUCCUUUUCUAGAGCUUUCAGGUGUGGCAUUCCAUUGCUAAUGUGAGAUUUCUCCAUUCCUAUUAUGGAGGCACUUAGUGCGGUGAACUUGUCUCUUAAAAACAACUGCCUUCCUGUGUCCCGUAGGUUUGGCUAUGCAUGUGUUCAUUUUAAUCCAACUAUAAAAGGUUUUUUUAUUUUUUUCUUGACCCAGUUUUCAUUCAGUAGUGAGUUGUUCAGUUUCCAUGAGUUUGUAACCUUUCUGAUGUUUCUGUUGUUGAUAUUCAUUUAUUGUUUAAUCUGGGGUGGUCAGAUAGGUUUUAGGGUAUUACUUCAACUUUCAUGUGUCUCUUGAGACUUGCUUAUGUCCAACUAUGUAGUCAAUUUUGAAGAAAGUUCCAUGAGCUGCUGAGAAAGAAGGUAUGUUCUUUUGUGUUUGAAUAAAAUAUUCUGUAAAUAUGUUAGGUCCAUUUGGUUUAUGACAUCAGUUAACUGCAUCCUUUCUCUGUUUAGUUUUUGCCUGGAUGCCCUGUCUAUUAGUGAGACUCAGGUAUUGAAGUCACCUUGUAUCACUGUGAGGGCCAAUAUAUGAUUUUAACUGUAAUAGGGUUUUAAAAUCAGCUUUGGGGCCCUGGCUUUUGGUGCAUAAUGGUGGAUUUUCCUUUGAUGAGUAAGUAUCCUUUUCCUGUCUCUUCUGAUUAGUUUUGUGUUGAAGUCUAUUUUGUCAGAUACUAAAAUGGCUACACUGGCUUGCUUCUUGGGUGCAUUUGAUUGGAGUAGCUUUCUGUAUCCUUUUACCCUGAGGUAAUAUCUAUCUUUGAUGUUAAUGUAUGUUCCUUGUAUGCAGCAGAAGGAUAGAUCCUGUUUUUCAAAUUCCAUCUGUUAGUCUGUGUAUUGGGAAUUGAGACUGUUGAUACUGAGCGCUCUCACAGAGCAGUGUUUGUUGACUCCUCCUCCCUUUGACUUGCUGGUCUGGGAUUAUUUAUUCCUGUGUUUUCUUAGGUGUGGUAACCUCUUCAGGUUGAUGUUUCUUCUAGCAUCUUCUAUAGAGCUGAACUUGUAGAUAGAUACUGCUUAAAUUUGGUUUUAUCAUGGAAUUUUCUUCCUCCAUUUACUGUCAUUGAAAGUUUUGCUGGGUAUAGUACUUUGGGCUGGCGUCUGUGAUCUCUAAGAGUCUGUGUAGCCCAUCUGUUCAGGCCCUUUUGCCUUUUAGAGUUUCCAUUGAGAAGUCAGAUGCUAUUCUAAUGGGUUUGCCUUUAUAUGUUACUUGGUCUUUUACCCUUGCAGCUUUUAAUUUUUUUCUUUGUUCUGUACAUUUAGUGUGUUUUAUUAUUAUGUGUUGUGGGGAGUAUGUAAUUUUUUUUUUUUGUAUUCUCUAUGCUUCUUGAACCUUGAUAGAUAUCCCUUAGACUCCUCAGACAGGAUUUCUUUGUGUAACAACUCUGGCUGCCUGGAAUUUGUUUUGUAGAUCAAGCUGGCUGGCCUUGAACUCACAGAGAUCUGCCUGCCUCUGCCUCCCUAGCGUUAGGAUUAAAGGCAUACACUGCCAUGCUUGGUUAGACCUUCUUUUUUUAGGUUAGGAAUAUUUUCCUUUAAUAAUUUUACUGAAAAUAUUUCCUGAACUUUGACCUGGGUUUCUUCUUCUUCCUAUCUCUUCUUCAUAAUUUGGUCUUUUUAUAUCAUCUCAGAUUUCCUAGAUGUUUUUAUGCCUAGGUUGGUUUUUUUUUUUUUUAAGAGUUAACAUUUUCUUUGAAGUAUUCAUUUCUUCUAUCUUGUCUUCAGUGCCUGAGACUCUGUCUUUCAUGUCUUGAACUCUGUUGCUGAGUUUUACCUGAGGUUCUGUUUAUUCAUAUUGUUUUCUAGUCCUUUGAGCAUAUUCAUAAUAGCUGUUCCGAAGCCCUUGCCUGUGCUUCAGUUGCAUUUCACUCACAGUACCCACUGUAGUAGGAUUACGUUGCAGUGAGACACAGGGAAAGGUGCUUUGUGAUAGUAUGUUAAACUCUUAAUUUUAAGACAUUUCCAAAGAUGAAAUUUCGUCAGCAAAAGUUUUUUUACCCCCUUUGAGAAAAGGGUUAUAAAUAAGUGUUUAAAGUUUAAAGCAUCAAAGUUCAAAAUUCUAUCAUCUGAUGUAGCUACAAUGUCUGCAACACAUCAAAGCUGUGACCGUGGGCUGCUGGCCACUCUACUGGAGUGAUGUCCAUGUGUGCGGGUGCAUUUACGCUGGUGUGUAGUGGGGAAGGAAAAUAAGCCGCCAUUAAAGUGACUUUUAAUUCUAGCAAAUGAUGAGUGACAACUGGGUGUUUGGAUGCUGUUUAAAUAGCUGGAAUUUGAGCAUUUGGGAUCUGUAACCCAUGUUUUCAUUUGUAAAAUACUCAGAAAGGUAGUGUAUGCCAAGAAACAGCUUAAAAUAUAGGAUUAAAAUAUUUGAUUUGUGUGUGUGUAAAAUAUAGGAUUAAAAUAUUUGAUUUGUGUGUGUGGUUGAAGGAACAUGAUUCAAAAACAUGUUUCUUCAAUAGAAGUUAUCACAUAGUAUAUUUAAUAAGAAACAACUAAAAUGUUACAGAAAAGGUCACUAAAUAAAAUGUCUUGUUCGG